UCGGACGUGGUGCGCGGUGCACGCCCACUCAUCAAGAAGAGAGACUGGAUGUUUAAGCGGGAAAUCCUGGGUUCAACUCCCAGCGUCCGAA